AUUGAACGCUGGCGGCAGGCCUAACACAUGCAAGUCGAACGGUAGCAGGAAACAGCUUGCUGUUUCGCUGACGAGUGGCGGACGGGUGAGUAAUGUCUGGGAAACUGUCUGAUGGAGGGGGAUAACUACUGGAAACGGUAGCUAAUACCGCAUAACGUCGCAAGACCAAAGAGGGGGACCUUCGGGCCUCUUGCCAUCGGAUGUGCCAAGAUGGGAUUAGCUAGUUGGUGGGGUAACGGCUCACCAAGGCGACGAUCCCUAGCUGGUCUGAGAGGAUGACCAGCCACACUGGAACUGAGACACGGUCCAGACUCCUACGGGAGGCAGCAGUGGGGAAUAUUGCACAAUGGGCGCAAGCCUGAUGCAGCCAUGCCGCGUGUAUGAAGAAGGCCUUCGGGUUGUAAAGUACUUUCAGCGGGGAGGAAGGGAGUAAAGUUAAUACCUUUGCUCAUUGACGUUACCCGCAGAAGAAGCACCGGCUAACUCCGUGCCAGCCGCCGCGGUAA
rnacentral:rRNA from 1 species